rnacentral:pre_miRNA from 11 species
AUCAAGACAUGAAAGACCCCCAGAGUGGGGAGACCCUCACUCAAGUCUCGGGAUAAGCUGACGCCCCAAUAAUUCAAGAGAGACC